rnacentral:rRNA from 1 species
UUGGAAACGAUGGCUAAUACCGCAUGAUGCCUACGGGCCAAAGAGGGGGACCUUCGGGCCUCUCGCGUCAGGAUAUGCCUAGGUGGGAUUAGCUAGUUGGUGAGGUAAGGGCUCACCAAGGCGACGAUCCCUAGCUGGUCUGAGAGGAUGAUCAGCCACACUGGAACUGAGACACGGUCCAGACUCCUACGGGAGGCAGCAGUGGGGAAUAUUGCACAAUGGGCGCAAGCCUGAUGCAGCCAUGCCGCGUGUAUGAAGAAGGCCUUCGGGUUGUAAAGCACUUUCAGUCGUGAGGAAGGCGGCGUCGUUAAUAGCGGCGUCGUUUGACGUUAGCGACAGAAGAAGCACCGGCUAACUCCGUGCCAGCAGCCGCGGUAAUACGGAGGGUGCGAGCGUUAAUCGGAAUUACUGGGCGUAAAGCGCAUGCAGGUGGUUUGUUAAGUCAGAUGUGAAAGCCCGGGGCUCAACCUCGGAAUAGCAUUUGAAACUGGCAGACUAGAGUACUGUAGAGGGGGGUAGAAUUUCAGGUGUAGCGGUGAAAUGCGUAGAGAUCUGAAGGAAUACCGGUGGCGAAGGCGGCCCCCUGGACAGAUACUGACACUCAGAUGCGAAAGCGUGGGGAGCAAACAGGAUUAGAUACCCUGGUAGUCCACGCCGUAAACGAUGUCUACUUGGAGGUUGUGGCCUUGAGCCGUGGCUUUCGGAGCUAACGCGUUAAGUAGACCGCCUGGGGAGUACGGUCGCAAGAUUAAAACUCAAAUGAAUUGACGGGGGCCCGCACAAGCGGUGGAGCAUGUGGUUUAAUUCGAUGCAACGCGAAGAACCUUACCUACUCUUGACAUCCAGAGAACUUUCCAGAGAUGGAUUGGUGCCUUCGGGAACUCUGAGACAGGUGCUGCAUGGCUGUCGUCAGCUCGUGUUGUGAAAUGUUGGGUUAAGUCCCGCAACGAGCGCAACCCUUAUCCUUGUUUGCCAGCGAGUAAUGUCCGGGAACUCC